GGUCUGACCAGGUUUGAGGAUUAUCCCUGCCCCCCUGGGUACUGGUGCCCAGGUAAAGGGGAUGCUUUCCUGUGUCCAGCUGGCACUUCCAGGAUCCAGCCUGGUGCAAAAUCAUUGGAAGAGUGUGAUCCCUGCUCACCUGGAUACUUCUGCCCAGAUCCAGCAGAGACAGGGCUGCCUAACACCCAGGGAGUACCCUGUAAACCUGGCUAUGAGUGCCCAGCAGGUGACAUGGCCAUGCUCCUGUUUUCUUUAUUUCCAGCUAUUUCUGGCUGGGAUCAAUCACUGUUUCCCCUUUUUGCCACCAGGUUCAGUAAAUCCAAAGCCUUGCAGGCCUGGCCUGUACUGUGCUGCUCACACAGCCCUGCCUUCCAUGUGCCCUGCUGGGUAUUACUGUCCUGAAGGAUCAUCAACAUACAAUAGCCCUGAGCAGCUGUGUGUGUUUCCCUACUACUGCCCCCCAGGCAGUGCCCAUCCGCUGCCCUGUGAAGCAGGGUACAUGGCCCUCAGCUUGCCUGGUCCAAGGGACUCACCUGAGAAGUUCUGCAGGAUCUGUGAUGCAGGCACCUACCGCAGUGACCCGCUCAUCAUGUCCCCCUGCCAGCCCUGCCCUGCAGGCUUCCUAUGCCCACAAGGCAGUGAGAGUUACCACAAGAAGCCUUGUCCCAGUGGCCACUACUGCCCUCCCCUGGCAUCUGCCCCUCUGCCCUGUCCCCCGGGGACCCACAGGAGCAGCAGCUUUGGGAAGCACAUAGAGGAUUGCCAGGCCUGUCCUGCCGGUACCUUCAGUCACCUCCCUGCCCAGGCUGCCUGCUUCCCCUGCGGCAGCUCCUCCUCCUCUCAGCCUGGUGCAACCAGCUGUACCUGCCACGGGCUGAACCGGGCUUUCCAGCAG
rnacentral:lncRNA from 14 species